UACAGAGGGUGCAAGCGUUGUUCGGAAUUCUGGGCGUAAAGGGCGCGUAGGCGGUCUUGUCAGUCCCUUGUGAAAUCCCCCGGCUCAACUGGGGAACUGCACGGGAAACAGCAGGGCUUGAGUUCGGGAGAGGGAAGCGGAAUUCCGGGUGUAGCGGUGAAAUGCGUAGAUAUCCGGAGGAACACCGGUGGCGAAGGCGGCUUCCUGGACCGAUACUGACGCUGAGGCGCGAAAGCUAGGGGAGCAAACGGG
rnacentral:rRNA from 1 species